rnacentral:rRNA from 1 species
UACAGAGGGGGCAAGCGUUGUUCGGAAUUACUGGGCGUAAAGGGCGCGUAGGCGGCCUUCUAAGUCGAACGUGAAAUCCCUAGGCUCAACCUAGGAACUGCGUCCGAUACUGGGAGGCUUGAAUCCGGGAGAGGGAUGCGGAAUUCCAGGUGUAGCGGUGAAAUGCGUAGAUAUCUGGAGGAACACCGGUGGCGAAGGCGGCAUCCUGGACCGGUAUUGACGCUGAGGCGCGAAAGCCAGGGGAGCAACCGGG